UACGUAGGCAGCAAGCGUUGUUCGGAGUUACUGGGCGUAAAGGGUGCGUAGGCGGGUCUUUAAGUCAGGGGUGAAAUCCUGGAGCUCAACUCCAGAACUGCCUUUGAUACUGAGGAUCUUGAGUUCGGGAGAGGUGAGUGGAACUGCGAGUGUAGAGGUGAAAUUCGUAGAUAUUCGCAAGAACACCAGUGGCGAAGGCGGCUCACUGGCCCGAUACUGACGCUGAGGCACGAAAGCGUGGGGAGCAAACAGG
rnacentral:rRNA from 1 species